AAAGCCUGUAUGGCAGAGGCAUGUGAAUUCCUGGGGAGGGACUGGCAAGCUUCGCUGCUCCCUGGGAGAUCAAAGCUAAUAGGCUUUUUCUGCAAACCUUGCAAACGUGAGUACUUCACGUGAUUGCAGGACUGACCUCGCCUUGAGGUUAUGGGUGACACGGGGAGAGAAGACAAGUAGGGGAGGGAGAUAUCCCUGAGUUAGCAGCUUAAGCUGAACUUCUGCUGCCGGGCCAAGUCCUAAAACUAAAAGGAAAUGUGACCUGUUCUCCCCUCUGCUCCCCCCCCCCCCCGAAAGCGCCCCUGGGGAAAGGACUUGCAUUGGGGGUGAAGAUGCCCCUUGGGACUCCCUGUUUGCUUGUGUGAUACCUUCCCACCCAUUUGAGGUGACUUUGGGUUGAGUCAUUUCCCUUUAUUUGUGAAAUAAAAAGGACAAGGAAGGGGAACUUUAUGGUGAAAGUGCUUUGAGGUCCUAAAGUAAUGAGGCCAGAGGUGAGUCAGGGGCCUGGGAGCACAGUGAUACUCCCACUCCACCACCCCCAGGGUUUGAGGGUAAUUUGUGGAUUCCACAGAAGGGAACUCUGAAGGGAACACCCAGGGUUAAGAGCAUCUUACCCUCCCUCCUCUACCAACGAGGAAAAUGAGGCUUUGCAGUGACUGGCCCAUGGUCAGACAUCUAUUGCUACUUUCCUCUGCCCACCCUAAACAUGAGGAGAUGGGCAGAUGUGCAAGUGAAACACUGAACGGAGGCUAGGAACAGCCAGCAUCUUCCUUCACAGCAGCGAUUGCCCAGUUGGUAAAAACAGGUCUCAAGUAGAGGUCUAUCCUGUUUGAGGAUUUGGGUUACGGGGAGAGACAAGAGCCUCUUCAAGCAGCCAAGUGAACCUGGCCCACCUGCUGCUUCCUGCUAAUUCCUCCACAGACCCAGGGAUUCUAGGGAGAUUUCCUCCCCUUCUCCACGUGUUCACAAGCAGCUCCUGGGGCAGCAUUGAUGGAUGCCUGGGAACAUGACAGCCGCCAAAGAGGCAGAGAAAAGGAGUGUGGGCACCAGGAAGAAAAUAGCUGGGCAGUAAGGAACUGCUGGGAUAAGGACAGAAAUGAUGGGACCCAGAGCCACCAAAAGGAUGAAGAAAAGGCUUGGUUGUCUGGCUUUUGAGUACCUGGGGUAGUAGAAUCUAGCUUUGGCCUCUCUUUGACCUCAAUCUUGACCUUCAAUAACAGGUGUAUCUCAACACAGCCUCCCACCCCUCCUGCCAGCUAGACAUUCCAGUUCACUUCUACACUCACACACACACACACAUACACACACACCAUUCCUCCCACAACCAAAUUCAGCCCAAGAAGGAACUGCACCCUUAAUAAACACGAUUCAGAUGGGAACCGUGGGAAAUGGAUACACGUCCAAGACUUGGCAGAGCAAGGCACAGGCCUGGCUCCAGGUUGCACACACUUCUUCUCAGAUUCCUCAGAGUUCAGGAUUCUGGGGACUGACCUCACCAUUUAGGGACAGGGUUGUAUCCUGUGCCUGUGUGUUUCCAUAUAUGUCUUUUUAAUUCUGUGUUUCUUUGGACUGGGAAGGAUGUAAAGAUAGAGAAGGCAUGGACUGAGAGCUUUUAAGUUCUGGCCAGAGAGAGUGUGUGUGUGAUCAUAUGAUUGUGAUUGUGGAUGUGUAAGUGUGAAUGGUAUGAGUGUGUGUGGAUGUGUGUGUUUAAUCCAAGAACUAUUCUCCUUGUCAGUAGGUUGUUCCAGGUAACAGGGCAACGCCCUGUGCAAAUCCUGGGUGGCCUCAAUCUUGGGCCAACGUUGACGGACUGACUGAGGGUGGGUCCUUGCUGCAAACCAGGUCAAGCUGCAGAUGUCGAAUUAAAGGAUGGCAGAGUUGGAGAUUAUUGGAGGGCUAACACUUGCCCAGCUAUCUUUUGGAACUACCCCUAUCAACAGCUCAAAGAAAAUGGCAAAUGUUGGGAAUUCCACCCCAGGCACGGGGAUGAAACUCUUUCCACCAGCAAGACUGCCCUUCCUGAAGAGAAUGAUUGCUUCUGUUGCAAUGUCUGAGCAGCAGGCUCAUCCUGGUGUUGCCUAUGCAAUGAUGGUGCUUGGAAGUGAGGUGUGUCUCCAAGACGAGAAAGAAGCCUGAAGCACUCGGUGCUCCCGCCCGCACAGUACCUCAGCUUCCCAGAAGCUCUGUUUUAAUUCCAGCCACAUUUCCUCUUCCCUAAACUCCCCCCUCUCCCUCCUACCUUCUCCUGGGUUGGUGGCAAAGGAAGUAGGUGGCCAGCAUAGGAUGCAACAAACAAACUUCCACGUAGACUGCUACAGAGGUAACUGAAGCAGGCGUCUGAGCUCUCCCCUCUCCCAGACUUUGGGAUCUGCAGCUGGUGAUGAGGGGAGAGGGGCAGGUAGGUCCAGGCCCUUUGAAGAGCCAUGGUGCCUCCUUCCAAGGGAUGUAUUAAGAGUGGAUUGAUUCAGGGAGAGUGUUGAAAGCCACCAAGGACAGACAGAGGUUGUGUAACAAGCCCUAAGGAAACAACAUCCCACUUCCCCAUUCACCUGCCUGAGAGACGUGUACCUCUAAAAACCCCUUCAAAAGCCACCUACCAUCCUGGGCCAAUGGCUCUUCAGCAAAUCAUUUGGGGAACCUGAAGGAGGGUCCUCCAGGAGGUGGCAUGGACUGUCCUUGGCAGUGGCAUGCUAAUCAAACCCCAGAUUGCCCUCUUUCUGGCCUGGGGUUGCUCCUCCUGGUUGGGGGGCAAGGGCACCCAGCACAUGCUCUGCCAGGGCCAUCCCGUCCAACCUUUGCUAUGCUGCUACUGCUGGUGUCAUCUUGCAGGUCCCUGCACCUGCCAUUGGCCGUCCUUGAGCCUCUGUAGGACUGAGAUGCAGGAGACUGUG